rnacentral:lncRNA from 1 species
AUCAAAAUGCAGUUUAUCACAUCUGACAUCACAUAAAUAUCAGCUUAAACGAGACUGAAUCUCCUAACCACGUUUUAAACCAUAUAAACAAAGUAGUACAGGAGAGGAAAUAAACCUGGAUGCUCAAAAUUUUAAUUAAUUUUAGGGGCAGAAAUACAAGGGACUUUGGCAGUGAAAAUUCGAAUCACGCAGCUGCCAAGCAAAAUCAACCAACAACCUCGAACGAGCCUCGAUCGGAACUCGAAUGGACAAACGACUCACUCGAACUCCAUACUUGAAACCAGAAAUCCAGAGCAAAAUAAAAUGGAGGAUUAAAGGUGCAAGAGAAAUCUAACCACUAUGUCUCUUUUGUAUCCCUUUUUAUUUUUCGGGAAUUAAAGCUAAAAGAAAAUCCAAAAUGAAGGUUCUGUAUCAAUCAAACGAACACGAAAAAUCAGUUGACAAAAUCGAGAUCAUAAAUCUCACUCUCUUGACCCUUUUCUCUCCAUCCUCUCUCUGAAAAAUCCUCCAAAGUUCUCUCUACUUAUCAGGCACCAACCUGAUGAAUGAAGGGCUGGGAUCGAUUGAAAUCGAUCCCGCGCUCCACAUUCAUCUAGCAUGUGCCUCCUAGAGGCUUCCAACACGUGAGAAAUAGGGGUGUUCAUUGGGCGGAUUGGGCGGCUUUUUACUCUAACGGUUUGGCUUAACGGUU